rnacentral:rRNA from 1 species
UGAUUUGUUGGAUCAUGGCUCAGAGCUGAACGCUGGCUGUGUAAAGCCUAACACAUGCAAGUCGAACGGCAGCACAGGAGAGCUUGCUCUCUGGGUGGCGAGUGGCGGACGGGUGAGGAAUACAUCGGAAUCUACUCUGUCGUGGGGGAUAACGUAGGGAAACUUACGCUAAUACCGCAUACGACCUACGGGUGAAAGCAGGGGAUCUUCGGACCUUGCGCGAUUGAAUGAGCCGAUGUCGGAUUAGCUAGUUGGCGGGGUAAAGGCCCACCAAGGCGACGAUCCGUAGCUGGUCUGAGAGGAUGAUCAGCCACACUGGAACUGAGACACGGUCCAGACUCCUACGGGAGGCAGCAGUGGGGAAUAUUGGACAAUGGGCGCAAGCCUGAUCCAGCCAUACCGCGUGGGUGAAUGAAGGCCUUCGGGUUGUAAAUGCCCUUUUGUUGG